GGGUAAGUAGGUUGGUCGUGCCACCGGUACGUACUGGUCUCACUGAUUCCUCCUUCCUGAAGGACCGUAAUGCCAUUAUUUUGGUGUUGCGGGGAAACAGGACUGUUACUUUGAAAAAAUUAGAGUGUCUAAAGCAAGCUAACGCUUGAAUACAUUAGCAUGGAAUAAUGAAAUAGGACGAUCGAUCCUAUUUUGUUGGUUUCUAGGAUUGACGUA
rnacentral:rRNA from 1 species